rnacentral:lncRNA from 1 species
UCUUUAACGUGUCCCUGCAUUUAUCUAUUUUAUAAGUAGUUAAUUCGCUGAUAGCCUUCUGUGCUUUUUAUAUCUAUUAGAGUUGGGGUGUGAUGGUUUAAAUAUGGCACAGUUGGAAGCAUGGUUGAACUUGUAAUGGUCGUAGGCUGUGGUCUGUUGCUACCUUCACUAUAUAUGUCUGUAAUGGCUCGUUUUCUUAAUGAGAUGAAGAACUGAAUCCUCUUGUUAUGUUUAUCAUGCUCUGCUGCUGAAUGAAGCCUGAGACGUUUUGCAGAGCUUGUUGUGCCUGCAUGAUCCUGGCUACAAAGAGAACCACUGCUUGUAUUUUUUUAGUGCUCCAGAGACCUUGCUUCUUUUCGAAUGUUAAGUUUAAAACUCGAAGUCAGUUGCCUGAUAGAUGAUGUUUUCUUUGCAAUUUGUGGCCCCACAUGUGUUUGUUUUAAUGUCCUGUUGUUUGUUCGUUCAUGCAUGGCGGCUCUGCGCAUUAGUUGUUUGUGCUAAUGCCAAGAGGUUGGGAUUAUGUUUGUUUUUUUGUGUUGUCUAAUUAACGCUCUUGUGUUUCUACUCUUUGGCUGCUGAGAUGUUCAUUUGGAUCAAGUAUUGCCGCUGAAGGUUUUUGUUCUCUGCCUUGCUCACAAACUUUUGUUUGGUCAAUUUGCACAAAUGUGGAUCAAAUUUGUAAGGGAGCUGAAACAAUGAAGUUACAGUCCUUGCUCUGUGUUGUACUGAACGCUGAGUUUUUUUUCUUUUACAUAUUGAUGUUUAAAUACAGUAGAAAAUGUGAUUGGCAAGAUAGUUAUACUUCAACAAUACUUCACCUGUUACCCAAUACUCCCUCCGUUCCUAAAUAUUUGUCUUUUUAGAGUUUCAAAUGGAUAUUUGUCUUUUUAGAGUUUCAAAUGGACUAUCACAUACUGAUGUACAUAGACAUAUUUUAAAGUGUAGAUUCAUUCAUUUUGCUCCGUAUGUAGUCACUUGUUGAAACCUCUAGAAAGACGAAUAUUUAGGGACGGAGGGAGUAAAAGAUAAUUUAGUCAGCAGUACUAUGUAGACUGGUUUAUUUUUUGUGCGUGACCCCUUCCUCAUCUCUAAAACAUGCAAUGUUCUCAGAUUUAUUUGCCUUUUUGCAUUGAGUUCAAAACUUGAACAUUUAGGAGGCAUUGACCAAUGUAGCAUGAGUACCGAAUACCUCUUCCUCGAGGUAUCUAACUUAUAAAGGAUGAAAGGGUUCGUAGUCACAACGAAGCCAGCCACGUCGCCUUUAAAUCGCUGCUGCCACCGCCUGUAAUUUUCGUUCCCCGCUGAGGGCAUUUUCGUCAUUUCGCAUCCGGGCGUAUAAAAGGGAGCAGCUCCUGUGGAGAAGACCUAGCUGCUCCUCCUCCCGCACUCGUGCGCCCCCUUUAUUCUUCCUCCCGCCUCACCUCUCUCCCCCCUCGACCCGCGACCCUCGUCCUGUCGCCGCCGGGACCCUCGUCCCUCUUGUCGCCGUCGCCUCCGCUGCCAAGUAGUGAGCGAGAGCAGCGAGAGGAACAACGAGCGAGCAGCCAAACCUUCAUGGCCUCCGCCCUCUCUCUUCCCCACCCCUCUCCCCUCACCACACAAGAGAAGAGAGGCAGGGAGUUGGACCGAUCAGGCGGCGGCCGGCCAUGGGACGGGAGGGCAGCGUUGGGCGAGCGAAAAGGAAAAGAAGCGAGCGACCGGAAGAAAAAAGACCUAGCCCGCGUCACCCCCCGUAACCCCCGCAGCCGCCUCCUCUCCUGUCGCCGCCGCCGCCUCGGCCUCGUCUCCACUGCGCCGCCUCCUCCUCUCCACUUCUCUCUACCACCGCAUGGCCGCCGCCGCCGCUCGCCUCUUUCUUCCCGUAGCUCCUGCAGGACGACGCCUCCCCAUCCUCCAUCAGCCGGGUCGGGCGAAGGUCGCCGGCAUCUUCGCGCUGCCACCUCUGCCCGUCCUCCUCUCUCGCCCAGCCACCACCGUUGCAAGGAGCAGGGAAGAUAGGAGACGACGACAAGAAGCAAUGGGUUGGUUGCGGUGGGCUUGAGCUGAGCAGGGGCCGGGUUAAGGUAGGUGUUGACGGCCUGGAUCCGUCGACGGGGGUCUGCCGGGCAUGGCGGCUGCUGGAAGGGCAGCAGCGGCCUGUGGGGAGUCGGCGGCACGGCAGCGACAUCUAUGGAGAAGAAUGGCCCAGCAGGCUCGUGUAGACAGGAGAUUCUCGGGGUGUUUGUCAAUUGGGCAGAUGGCGGCCAUCGGAGUUUCUUCAAUCGAUCUGGACAGGGCCACCACAGCGUACGCGAGGGCUGGAGGUGAGUGACCCUCUGGAGCCGCUUCCUCUCCCAGUUUUUUACUCCUUGAUUUUUAGAUCCUCUCCCAGUUUUUCACUACUUGAUUUUUAGAUUAUUUGAUAAUCUUAUUUGAUUUCUCAAUUUCUGGUUACCUAUGACGAGUAGAAGAAGAAUUUUGACAAAGGGUUUGAUGAAUAAGAACAGGUGAAUUCAAUUUGCCUUGAAUAUAGUCGCGUGUGUUCCCGCAUUUUGAUGUUUGAUUUUUUUUUCUGUGUAAGAGAGCAAAUGACAUGAUUUUGUACUCCUAUUACCUACUGACAGAAGAUACAUUUGUAAAUGAAGGUCUCAAUAAUGUUUGUUUUUACCUUGUGGUCUGAUAGACCAGUACAUACUGUUGGUCAUGUUAACAAAAGAUUUUGUCAUCCCUCUGUAUGAGCUGUAAUAAUAUUUACAUAUAUCUUUGACUGUGCAGAUUCAGAUUUUUCUCCUUCCUCGCCUCAUUGACAUGCUCUGCAUCUUCAGCUUGCAGGUUGUGGUCUUUCACUUCUCCUCUUGUUGGUUUGCUCUCUGGUUAAGCCAUGGAAGACACGCUUCGAUUACUUGGCUCCUCAAGGUAUGGUGCAUAUUGCCUCUGAUUUGCUUAUUUGAGUGUACUUUUAUACAGAAAAUUUCAUUUGCUUAUUUUCAAUUCUUUAGGGAUAUGAGAAGAGAGCUCUAUUGUUGGCAGUGGCUGCAUAAUUUCGACAAGUGAAUGGUUGAUCUUUGCUAUGUGGAUUGUGGACCGAUGGCAUAAUCUGUAUCUAAGGUUGGAGAUUCUGAAUUAGGUACGAGAAAGAUGACAGUCACUUUGUUUUCACUAUAUUAGUUUACUGAAUAUUUUUAAGGUUGGAACUGCAUGAUCAAAGUGACAAUAUAACUAAAUGUUCGAAGAAACUUAAGGCUAGACACCACAUUAAUUUCCUUUUUAAUUUGAAUUUAUAAGCAGACACCUGAAUUUAGCUUGAUACAGAUCCUAUGAUCCCUUGGAAGCCUAUAUUGUAAAAUUUGAGCAGUUCCCAUGACAGAAUUUAUAUUAGAACUUACUUUCUCUUUCCAAAUGCCCAUAUAUUUUGUUGCUCUAUAAUUCAACUUAUACGCAUUUAGCAGCGUAUCUUUAUCAUGUUAUCCAGUUCUUACCAUACCAUGUGGUAGCUAAAUGUGCUGAUCUACCCCUGCAGAAUUAGUACCGUUUUUCAGCUAUGUGUAAUUAAUCAGCUACUUCCAUUUUUUGAUGAUUAAUUUUUAAAUAAAGGUUCAGAGAAUGGCUUCUAUUGCCUUCCAGACCACCUGGUAAAGGAUGAAUAGGUGUUGGUUGCCAUCCAGAUCUCCGUCUUGGAUGCUGGGAGCAAUUCUCAAAUUGUUUGUGCAUGAAUUGACCGAUUCUCCUUUCUCUUGCAGAGUGUCUUGUUUAUCUGAGGUGGAUUCUUAUCUUCUUAUCCACAUGCUUGCUAAAUGUACAUUUUUCUUUCAUUUUAGCUAGAAAGCAAGCAGCCUUACACGAUUUAGAUAUCUUUUACAUGAACUUCUUAUGCAACCAGUAUGUUAUGAAUAUGCAAUGGCACACAUUGUUUCUUUAGUGAGAAAUUCCUGAACAUACUCUCUAUUGUGUUAUGGGAGUCUGAUGUACCAGCCCAUGUGGCUGAUUGUGUUAUGGGUGAUUUGCCCAAGCACCGUUAAGUUACAAAGUUUUGCUUUACUUCCAAAAAAAGGUCUGUUGAAACGUGCCUAUUGACCACCAAAAACCACUUUAUUUUUUGUGUAUGUUCGCCAUUUUAGUCCAAUUGUUGAUAUGCUGCCAACAACUUUUCCAUCCCCUCUUUCUUACUAUUUAGUUAUUUCCUCAGGCAAGUUGAUGGUUAUUUCUACUAUUGCUAAUUUAGUUUUGGUUCUAUCUGUGUGCAUGGCAUGCAGGCCUUCCCAGGAGAUGCAGUUCUGAAAUUUGUCACAGUUCUAUGGAUCUAUUAUUGUGAGAACCGAUGAUAUAUGGUGAGUUGUCUGACACCAUCAUUUCUCCUUUCUAGCGCUUGAGUUGACAAAUUUCAUGUAAUCAAAUGGAGUCCCUGCAUCUUAAGAUGUCAUCCAUUUAUCACAUGUAAUGUGUUGUUUCCCUUUUAUGCGCCAGAGUUCUUUCCUAUAUUCUGAGCAUCAAAGCCCUUUUAGAUUGUAUACUGGACAUGAUUUUAUCUACUUUAAUAUAUGCUUUAUGCGCGUCUGAAAGUGUCCACUAUGUUUAUUUGCUCCAUGAAUUUAACUGUUGUAUUUGCUAAGAAUAGUGUAAUUUUCUGGGUCACAAUUACCUUUAAACAUCAACUACGUUCUUAUUCCUAUCAACGAUCUAAGUAAAACAUGAAAAACCUGGGUUUUCCUUUGUCUCUGGCCAGUGUUAUAUACUUAUUCGAUACCUACUAUCCUCUAUAUAUACUUGUGUUUUCCCCCUCCAAUAUAGGUGCCUGGACUAUGACCUCUGCCUUUUGACGGUUGCUUUUCCUUUGCUACUAGGUAUUGUUCUUGUAUUCAAGAGUUUUGUUUCUACAAUUGCCUUUGACGUACCUACACAUCAAUCAUUUGCCAAAUUAAAACAAAUGACCUUCUCAAAACAUAUGCAUGCUUUCGACACCCUGAAGAGAUGUGUUUACUUUACCCGCAAACUUCUAUACACGGACUGUUUAAUGAAUUUUAAUGUGUGGUUGUGUGAUGUAUACUUCAGUAAAUAUUGCUUCUCCAAUUUACAAUAUUAUUAUGGGGAAAAUUUGACACAUAAAAAUGCACACAAGUUAUGAAUAUUUUUAGCUCAAUUGAUAAUUGUUCGUCAAAAGAGAUCACACAAUACCCCUUGCUCUGAAUUAUUUAGAUUGAAGCCAUACUCUGUGUAGACAUGCAGUUAUUUUUAAAGUAAAAGAAAAUAAUUAUUUACUGGUAGUAGGAUCACAGCGGCAAAUUACUGUGUCUCAGGUUUGAAAGCAGGUAGAAUAACGAGAAAGUUUGGAUACGUCAAUUUCUUUUUUCUUAUAUUUAAUUUCCUAAUGUAUGAUGGUGGAGUUGCAUCUCUUUACUGUCAUCGAGGAAAAGGAUGACCAAGCUCAGCAGUCCAAUCUUUGUCUUUGGCACUAGGAAAGUUGCCUAAAAGAUAUAUAAUGCCGGUCCAUGUAUUUAGUUGUUUGUGCCGCAGCCUGUGUGCUUCCAUUUGCUUUCUAACAUUAAUGGGGUACAUGUACAUGUACUAAGAACCGUUUGACUAUAUGUGACCAUCAAGAGAACUAAUAUUUCCUGUCAUCUAUUCAUUUCGGCCUUAUCAUCUCACUUUCGUUUGUUACAUCUUGUUCAAUAUCAUUGUUGUAUCAAUGCUACCCAUCUACCCUAUAUGCAUGUCGUAAUUCGUAAACCUUGACAAAAGCAAAGAACAUGCUUAAUCAAAAAAUUCAAUGAACAUAGGGUCCACUUGGCACUGAAUCUUAUAUUUACUAAUUGGAGGCACCUUUCAAGUCUUCUAAUUAAUCCACAUCAUCACAAUUAAUUAGACAGUUGGAUUAUAAAAUUAACGACCAAGAUAAGAAGAAAACUUGCGUAACACAGAUGGUUCCGGCUGUCCAAAAUAAUGGCAUAUGACACGGCCAAUGUGUUGAAACAAGAAAAAAAACAUCCAUCUGUUCCUUUAAAAAAAUGAUAGACUCCUUCCAUAACAACUCUCGAGGAUCUGUGAAACACAGUUUUACAUGCAGGAUCCAUGAAACUCUUCUGCCAAUUAAAGAAAGGAAAAACAGCGCUCCUUAAAGAAAACAUCCCAUCGCUCCUGUGCAUCUUUUCAGGCAACUUCCGCUUCUUUGGUCCAUUAAAACAACAUCUGACACGCGAAAAUUCUCUUCUGAGCCCGGUCUCAGCUGAUCUUGAAAUCAGAGUCGUCCAGAUACAUUAAGAUCCGAGCCAGGAGCUUUAUUCUCUUCUGUAUUUCCGUUGUACAGAGGGAGAAAAGAAAGCGGGCCUGCGUCAUUAAUUGCUGUGCGCGGCACGGCCGUUUGCCGGAUCAGGCUCGGUCGCACGGCCCGGUAAUAUUUCUGAGCCGUCUUGACGGCCCGACGACUUUUCAGCCAAGUCUCGUCUGCUGUGUGCUUAGGUGCUUUUUUUUAUGCAUGCAGAUAAAUCCGCCGUCUGCUGCUCGCAACCAUGCAGGCACAGGCACCCCUUUCUAAACAAUCUGUGUGAUGUUUACCCUGUAAGAAUUCCUAUAAAGAUGCCAAACCCGCGACACACAUUUCGCUAAUCAAAAUCACAAAGGCGUGUUACUGUUACCCACAUGCUGACCGAUGUGCUUCAUGUCGCGCAUAACAUGACGACAUCAAGUCAGUACUAAUCACCACAGCACACUAAGUACGAAACAGACGCACACACAGCAACUGCUGCUGUAGUGGCAACGACAGUGUUACCAUCUGCAAGGCACAAAGAAACUUACUGAGCCCGUCUAUGUUUGAUUGUUUCGGUGCAAACGUCCUCCUCAUCGGGUCCAUCAUGCAUCCGUGUCGUCGCCACCAAGGUUGCACACUGCGCUGGACUCGCUCCUAUCCGCCGAAAAUGCAGCAACCUCUGCGAACAAGGCAGUGUCAUUUGGAUCGUGCUUGCUGAACCUUCUUCCAGGGGAGGAGGGACCAUGAUCCAACUCCUCCAAGCAAGCGCGCAUUUUGAUCGUGCUUGCUGAACCCUUCUUGCCAACGCAUUCCUUACUCCAGCAGGAUUUGCCUCCAUCCAGAAGUCACCGGAACCAGCUGCCGGCGCCGCUGUGCACUACAAAACUCCGGCGAGAACACGGCACCUGUGAGGAAUGAGACCGAUUUGGUCGACAACCCUUGGGUCCCAGGCAUUAUGAUCUCCUAGCGGGCCCAGACUUCAACACGUGCCACCUGGACCGCAGACCUGUUCCGCGGCCCACAAUAGUUUUCACGUCCCGGGCCGUGGCGCAGAGCCUCGCUGUAACGGAAACACUCCCCGCCCUACAAAACUGGCCCACACCAAACGACGGUACACACUCGUAUCGCGGCCGUAUACAUUUUUAACGCGGGUUGCGUUCUGACGCAGCAGAGCGGUUUUUUCGCAUCCCAAGGUGCCUACGAUCGGCACAAAUUUCGGGCUCAUCUGAGCCCGAGCACCAAAACGCCUUGUCCACAUCUGACACGUCCAAUUUAAACAAUAAAAAAGGUAUCCAUCGUUUCUUUUAAAAAAGAGACAGCUGCCACUCAAACAAAAAAAAGGCAUCCUUACAUAACAGCUCAUCUAUGAAACUCUUCUUGCCAGCUAAAACAAGGAAAGGCAUCUGUGCCUAAAAAAAAGGGAAAACAUCUCCAUGGGCACCUGUACAUGGAUGGACCUUUCAAGCCUUCUCACUAAUCCACAUCAUCAAAACUAACUACACAAGUGAAUUGUAAUUGUAAGUCCAGGAUUUAGAAUACAUCGACACAACUUUAUUACGCAAGUUUUGGAGUCCUGGGCAGCCACAACUUACAAGUUGUAAAUUCUAGAGAAUUAGCUACAAUAAUAAUUCUUCGCAAAAAAAAGCUACAAUAAUAAUUGAAUCGUACGUCCAGAAUAAGAAUACAUAACCAUUAGAUUGUGAAUUUAAUGGUCAAGAUCUAUUAAAAGGCCUGCAUCUUUAAAGAAAACACCAUGAACAUAUCUGGGAUUAAACCCACACGUUCGUACAAAGAAAAAGAUGAGAGUCCUUCCCUUAAAAAAAGAUGAGAGUCCCCCACAUAAAGAAAAAGAUGAGAGCCAUGCCGUAUUACGACAGAAAAAAAAAACAUCAAUGCCCACGUCAAAGUUAAAAAAAAGUCCUGCCUUAUUACAACUCAAGAAAAAGGAGAGUCGUCCUUUAUUAAAACCCACAUGUACGUAAUGGAAAAAAUCCCCUAAAAAAGUGUUCUAACCACGUACCUAAAAUAAAAUUGAACAACUAAAA